UACAGAGGUCUCAAGCGUUGUUCGGAUUCAUUGGGCGUAAAGAGCGCGCAGGCGGUCGUACAAGUCGCGUGUGAAAGCCCCCGGCUCAACUGGGGAGGGUCACGCGAUACUGUUCGACUCGAAGGCAGGAGAGGGAAGUGGAAUUCCCGGUGUAGUGGUGAAAUGCGUAGAGAUCCGGAGGAACACCGAAGGCGAAGGCAGUGUCCUGGCGAGUAUCCUGACGCUGAGGUGCGAAAGCCAGGGGAGCGAACGGG
rnacentral:rRNA from 1 species